AGACAAUAUAAAAUCGAGUGAAGUACAACUACUUCGGGCAAACAAAAAGGAAAACAAUGUACAAACGAUAGGCACUAAGGUCUCCAAGCUAAAGACUCAAAAUGAAUCAAAACAUGCGAGUACAAAGCAAACAUAACCUUGUACACGUGUGUUUUAAUUCGUCUAACAAUGUUAUUCACAUGAAGAUUUAGUUCCUCAAAAAUCUUCAUAUUUCGUGCCAUCCAAAUAUGGUAAGCAGUGCUCACAAGCGCAAUUCUUUUGGAUAUACUUUGUCAAG
rnacentral:lncRNA from 1 species